rnacentral:rRNA from 1 species
UACGUAGGGAGCAAGCGUUGUCCGGAAUCAUUGGGCGUAAAGCGCGCGUAGGUGGCUUCGUAAGUCCGUUGUGAAAGUCAAAGGCUCAACCUUUGAAAGCCGAUGGAUACUGUGAAGCUAGAGUACGGAAGAGGCGAGUGGAAUUCCUGGUGUAGCGGUGGAAUGCGCAGAUAUCAGGAGGAACACCGAUGGCGAAGGCAGCUCGCUGGGACGGUACUGACGUUGAGGCGCGAAAGCGUGGGGAGCAAACAGG